rnacentral:rRNA from 17 species
UCCGACCUCAGAUCGGACGAGAUUACCCGCUGAAUUUAAGCAUAUCAUUAAGCGGAGGA